rnacentral:rRNA from 1 species
GACGAACGCUGGCGGCGUGCCUAACACAUGCAAGUCGAACGGACAGACCCUGCUUUUGCGGGUUGCACGUUUGCCGAAGGCGUGAGUAAAACGUGUGUAUCCCGCCCCUGUCUUUGGGGUAACUCUAGGAAACUCGGGCGAAUACCCGAUAGGAGCUCCUGCUCCACGGUGGGGGAUGGAAAGAUUCGGCGGUUUGGGCUCGACUCGCGGCUUAUCAGCUUGUUUGUGGGGUAGUUGAUUACCAAGGGUUUGACGGGUAGCCGGCCUGGGAGGGGGAACGGCCACCUGGGGACUGAGGGACGGCCCAGACGCCUACGGGAGGCAGCGGUGGGGAGUAUGGCGGAGUGGGCGGAAGCCUGAUGCAGCAGCCCUGCGUGCGGGAUGCCGGCUUUCGAGUUGUAAACAGCUGUGGCAUGUGACGAAGCGGGAGUGACGGUAAUGAGUAAAGAAGCAACGGCUAACUACGUG